AGUGAACGCUGGCGGUGGGCCUAACACAUGCAAGUCGAACGGCAGCACAGUAAGGGCUUGCUCUUACGGGUGGCGAGUGGCGGACGGGUGAGGAAUACAUCGGAAUCUACUUUUUCGUGGGGGAUAACGUAGGGAAACUUACGCUAAUACCGCAUACGACCUACGGGUGAAAGCAGGGGAUCUUCGGACCUUGCUCGAUUGAAUGAGCCGAUGUCGGAUUAGCUAGUUGGCGGGGUAAAGGCCCACCAAGGCGACGAUCCGUAGCUGGUCUGAGAGGAUGAUCAGCCACACUGGAACUGAGACACGGUCCAGACUCCUACGGGAGGCAGCAGUGGGGAAUAUUGGACAAUGGGCGCAAGCCUGAUCCAGCCAUACCGCGUGGGUGAAGAAGGCCUUCGGGUUGUAAAGCCCUUUUGUUGGGAAAGAAAAGCAGCAGGUUAAUACCCCGCUGUUCUGACGGUGCCCAAAGAAUAAGCACCGGCUAACUUCGUG
rnacentral:rRNA from 1 species